rnacentral:rRNA from 1 species
UACGUAGGGGGCAAGCGUUGUCCGGAUUUAUUGGGCGUAAAGAGCGUGUAGGCGGCCGUACAGGUCAGCUGUGAAAACUCGAGGCUCAACCUCGAGACGUCGGUUGAAACCGUACGGCUAGAGUCCGGAAGAGGAGAGUGGAAUUCCCGGUGUAGCGGUGAAAUGCGCAGAUAUCGGGAGGAACACCCAUGGCGAAGGCAGCUCUCUGGUACGUGACUGACGCUGAGACGCGAAAGCGUGGGGAGCGAACAGG